UACGUAGGGUGCGAGCGUUGUCCGGAAUUAUUGGGCGUAAAGGGCUCGUAGGCGGUUUGUCGCGUCGGGAGUGAAAACACCGGGCUUAACUCGGUGCUUGCUUUCGAUACGGGCAGACUAGAGGUAUGCAGGGGGAGAACGGAAUUCCUGGUGUAGCGGUGGAAUGCGCAGAUAUCAGGAAGAACACGGGUGGCGAAGGCGGCUCUCUGGGCCUUACCUGACGCUGAGGAGCGAAAGCGUGGGGAGCGAACAGG
rnacentral:rRNA from 1 species